UACGACCAGGGCUACACACGUGCUACAAUGGCGCAUACAAAGAGAAGCGACCUCGCGAGAGCAAGCGGACCUCAUAAAGUGCGUCGUAGUCCGGAUUGGAGUCUGCAACUCGACUCCAUGAAGUCGGAAUCGCUAGUAAUCGUGGAUCAGAAUGCCACGGUGAAUACGUUCCCGGGCCUUGUACACACCGCCCGUCACACCAUGGGAGUGGGUUGCAAAAGAAGUAGGUAGCUUAACCUUCGGGAGGGCGCUUACCACUUUGUGAUUCAUGACUGGGGUGAAGUCGUAACAAGGUAACCGUAGGGGAACCUGCGGUUGGAUCACCUCCUU
rnacentral:rRNA from 1 species